rnacentral:lncRNA from 1 species
CAACCAUGAAAGAGGCCUAGCACAUGGUGCUGAAUAGUGAAAUAUGAUAUCCUUGAAGUCACUAAGGUUUAACAUACAGCACAAGAGAACAUUCUUUAGGAAUGACUCAUCUGAGCUUCAGGCCCCACCACCUGGUUUCACAGAGGAGAGAAGCAGGGCCCAGAGGAAAAGGACUCACCCAAAGAGUUCGCAUCAUGGACCAGAGUCCAGGUCGCCUGAUGCCUAGACCAGUGCUCUUCCACAGCUCCCUAGCUUCCUGACAAGUUGUACAAACUCCGAUCCAGGUUUGGGGAGGGAAAGGCAGGCUCAGUGCUGGGCCUCAUUCACUGGCUCUAUCUCAGCAGCAUCUACCAACAAUAUUUAAGUGGGAUCACAAUUCUGGGAAGAUUCAGACCCUGGAAACAAGGGAAAGUCAGGAAAAAUUAUGUAAAGGAUGAUGAUAGACGGGACCUAGCCACAUUCCAGGAACUUACAGACUAUUUCAGAUGCAACAGAGAACUCAAAAAGAAUGGAAUGGAAAAAGAAAGGGAAAGACAUUCUGAAAUGUGACACUUGAACAACAUCGACCCUCUACCUAACUGCAAAAAAAAAUGAGGACAAUAUCUCUCUACGGUGAUAAAAAAAUUAAAACUCAUGAGUGAAAAACAGAAGCGUUCUGAGAAGAUGUGUUAACAGAGGAUUAACCUCUGAAAUGCUAAUAAGAUAGGGGAGGAAGUGACAAAGAAAUUAGACUGUAUUUCUCCAUGCUGAGCCGAAGAGAUAACAAUGCAUCAUUAGCCAAGAAUUUUUAUAUGUGUUGCCAUUUAUGAAAAUCUAUAUAUAUUUUGC